rnacentral:rRNA from 1 species
UGGCGGCGUGCCUACUUCAUAGCAAGUAGAACGCUGAAGACUGGUGCUUGCACUAGUCAGAUGAGUUGCGAACGGGUGAGUAACGCGUAGGUAACCUACCUCAUAGCGGGGGAUAACUAUUGGAAACGAUAGCUAAUACCGCAUGACAAUUAAGUACUCAUGUACUAAAUUUAAAAGGAGCAAUUGCUUCACUAUGAGAUGGACCUGCGUUGUAUUAGCUAGUUGGUGAGGUAACGGCUCACCAAGGCCACGAUACAUAGCCGACCUGAGAGGGUGAUCGGCCACACUGGGACUGAGACACGGCCCAGACUCCUACGGGAGGCAGCAGUAGGGAAUCUUCGGCAAUGGGGGCAACCCUGACCGAGCAACGCCGCGUGAGUGAAGAAGGUUUUCGGAUCGUAAAGCUCUGUUGUUAGAGAAGAACGGUAAUGGGAGUGGAAAAUCCAUUACGUGACGGUAACUAACCAGAAAGGGACGGCUAACUACGUGCCAGCAGCCGCGGUAAUACGUAGGUCUCGAGCGUUGUCCGGAUUUAUUGGGCGUAAAGCGAGCGCAGGCGGUUAUUUAAGUCUGAGGUUAAAGGCCGUGGGCUCAACCAUGGUUCGCUUUGGAAACUGGAUAACUUGAGUGCAGAAGGGGGAGAGUGGAUUUCCAUGUGUAGCGGUGAAAUGCGUAGAUAUAUGGAAGGAACACCGGUUGGCGAAAGCGGCUCUCUGGUCUGUAACUGACGGCUGGAGGCUCGGAAGCGUGGGGGAGCAAACAGGAUUUAGAUACCCCUGGGUAGUCCCCCCCGGUAAACG